rnacentral:pre_miRNA from 1 species
AAUAAGUGCAGCCGUAGAUAUCCGUGUCCAAUAUUUGACCGUCCGUCUUAUUUGAAAAAUUUGUGAAAAAUUUGAAAAUAUUUAGCAAUAAAAAUAUUAAUCAUAAAAAAGUUUAAAUAAAACGAAUGGUCAAAUGUUGAACGUGAAUAGUGUAAAACUGUACUUAUU